GUUUGGAGCAGUAACACCCUUAGACAGCUUUCUCUGACUGUCCUCCACCUGCACAGUUGUGAGUUGCCACUACAGGGCAUAUGCCAGUCAACAUAAUUGUAGACCUCAAUUUUGUUUCACUCCAUACUUAGGUGACUUCAUGGAAAAUAGCAUCAUGGCCCAGAACUGUCUGUUCAGUGAAAUGAAGCUGCCCCAAGUUGACCUGUUCAUUACCUAUUCAUUUGCUGUGAUGUAAUCUCUGGGAGGAAAAUGCAAGCAGUCUAAUUAUGUUAAACAUCAGAAACUCUUCAGAUCAACUGGCAUUAUUAUUCUUUAAUCCUAGAAGCUAUGUAGAAUUUGUGUAAAAUCUCACUGCAAUGUGUUCACCAACAUUUUAUGAAAAAAAUAUUUUUAGCUUUGUUUUAAAAAAACCCAAAAACCCUUUCAACUAGGACACAUUUUAUAUGAUUAUGAAGUGCUGGGUACAUUAUUUAUUUUUUGCUCUACCCACUAAUGCUGAAAUCUCACCAAAAGCUAAUUUGCAGAGAUAUUACAUAAUAAUAUCUUCAUGAUCAUAAUGGGGUAGAAAACUGAUUGUGGUCCUUGUGUUCUGGGGUAGAAGCCAAGAGCAGAGACACUGGUGUGUUAAUGCAGAAAAGCACCCCUCUUCCUAAAAUGUCUAAAUCACAUAAUAUUAGUGUAACAUAAUUUGGAAUAUAUUAUGACAGUUGCAAUUACUGAAAAGUGCAUGAUGCCAUUAUUUCCAACUGGAAAUUAGAUGAUUAUACUAAUUAAGUGAUAGCAGGUGGCACAGGAUGACUGUUACAAUCCUCUCUGAUCUGUGGAGAUGCAUGGUUCAGUGUCUGAAACACCCAGGAGUAGUAACAAUUGGCUUAAGCACUAUUCAGUCCCAAGGUGCAGAAUAGGGAUUCACUUUGAUUUAACACUUCCUUAUCACAUCAAAGAGGUGAAAAAGGCAUCUUUAUGGAUUGGCCUGGAAAAAAAUAAUUCCAGUGGUUCAGCUUCUACCUGAGCAGCUAAAGUAUCUGAGUAUAUGAGAACUACAAUAUGAAACCACUACAGAUAUUAUCAUGUAAAGCUAGAAUUCAAAUGAUAAAUCUUUUUAUCACAAUGGUUUAAACAAUUCAGCUCUAUUGAUUUCAAGUUGCAGAAUUCUGGAUUAAUUAAUAUUGCAUUAAUAAACAGGCCUAGGUUAGCAAACUGAAUAUCUUUCUUGUACAAUAAAUGCUUUAUGCUAUAAUACAAGUAUUGUAUAUUUUUAAGACUUUAUGAAGUCAUUAAAUAAAUUAGCGUUUUAGGGGUUGAGGAGUAUUCAUCCCCUACGUUUAGGGGAAGGCUUGAAGACCAUUCACAAUUGCAUUGCACUGGAUAAAGCAGCCUAUAGAUCUACAUGUCAUCAAGAGACCUUGUUCUUCUUGCUCCCUACAGAUCUAUGCUAAAUUUGAAUUAAAGCCAUGAAAAC